rnacentral:misc_RNA from 1 species
AAGUCGUAACAAGGUAACCGUAGGUGAACCUGCGGUUGGAUCAUUAAAAAGAUCUAGCCCGAUUUUGCACCUGGCCUUGAGCUGGUGGAAUGACAGGCUUUUCUCACGUACGUGAGUCAACAUCAUGUGAACUGUUUUGUCUCUGGCGGUGGGAUGGCUCAAAACCGUCUGUCAGCAUCCGAGGUAAUCUCGGUGUGCCGUGGACAAGCCGCCAACGGUGUAUGCUUCAUACAAACUUUUUGUUUCAUUAAAACUGUCUGACCUACUUUUGUAUCUAAGUAAUACAAAAACAACUUUUGGCAACGGAUCUCUUGGCUCCC